rnacentral:rRNA from 1 species
CAGUAGCCGCGGUAAUACGAACCGUGCGAACGUUAUUCGGAAUCACUGGGCUUAAAGCGCGUGUAGGCGGGCCGCCACGUCGGCUGCUGAAAUCCCCCGGCUCAACCGGGGAAGUGGCACCGAUACGAGCGGCCUCGAGGGGGGUAGGGGGGACUGGAACUUCCGGUGGAGCGGUGAAAUGCGUUGAGAUCGGAAGGAACGCCCAUGGCGAAAGCGAGUCCCUGGACCCUCUCUGACGCUGAGACGCGAUAGCCAGGGGAGCGAACGGGAUUAGAUACCCGUGUAGUCCCUGUCUCUUAUU